rnacentral:rRNA from 1 species
UACGUAGGGUGCAAGCGUUGUCCGGAAUUAUUGGGCGUAAAGAGCUCGUAGGCGGUUUGUCGCGUCUGCUGUGAAAACUCAGGGCUUAACCCUGAGCUUGCAGUGGGUACGGGCAGACUAGAGUGCGGUAGGGGAGACUGGAAUUCCUGGUGUAGCGGUGAAAUGCGCAGAUAUCAGGGAGGAACACCGGUGGGCGAAGGCGGGUCUCUGGGCCGUAACUGACGCUGGAGGA